rnacentral:lncRNA from 1 species
GGCUGUACCUGUGGUAUAUGGAGGCUAGGAGUCGAAUCAGAGCUGCAAUGCUGACCACAUCCACAGCAACUUAGAUCUAAGCCUCGUCUGUGACCUACACCCACAGCUCACUGGAUCCCCAACCCACUGAGCAAGGCCAGGGAUCGAACCCACAUCCUCAGGGAUACUGGCUGGAUUCAUUACCUCUGAGCCACAACAGGAACUCCAAGAUUGCUUUAUACAAUAGUGACUACGCAAAAAAAACAUGUAGCAAGAACUUGGAGGGUGUCAGGUAUGCAGGAUGCUAUUUCUUAAUGAAAAUGUCUGUGGAUAUAUUUCAGUAGGGUGUUCUAAAUAUAUUUUUAAAACAUGGUGAGGCACAUUGAACAGGGUAGCUAGGGGCUAUUUUACAGCUUUUUAAAAGAAAUCCUGACAGAUCAAAGCUUUUGUCUGUAGAUAAUAAUGAACCUUUAUCUGAGAGUAUCACAUAUGCAUCAUUCUAUGUGCCAAAUGCCACAGCCUCAGGAAACCAGCUGCCCGCAGCCUUGUAAAUCAAAGUUUAUUCGCUUCCUCAUUUUCUGUCAUGAACUCCCUAGUCAUACGCUGUCACAGCAAUUCACUUCACAUUUUAAAAAUAAAGGUUUGUUUCAUGGAGCCUUGAUGAGUCCCAUCUGAAAACCAUUAAAAACAUCCACACCCACUUCCACACAAACCAGAAAAUCCGUAGAAUUCAGACUCAUUAAGUCUGGAAGCUGGAAAUGAUCCUAGCAACAAAUAAUUUACACUUCCCAUUAUGGACAGAAAGAAAGUAGAGAGGUCUGGUGAUCUGGCCACUGUCAUUCGAAGCAGUCAACUGGGCACUGCUGGGACCAGAACCCUGGUUUCCUAUUCCCUCUGGGUUCUCCCUGCUUCACCACGCCUCGGGUCUGGCUCUGAAGUUAGUGAAUCCCCCUUGAUACUCUCCAAGCCUGUCAGUGAGUCAUGUUUCCGUUUCCACACGCUGUUCCAAGUGGCCUUUAGGAGCACAGAGUUCAUUCAUUCACCGUAACUCGUACAGAGAGGACCGGCACACUCAGCAGUUUUGACUCACACGCCACCUUCAAAUCGGUGAAGCCAAUGGCCAACUAAAUCUAAAAAGAAAAAGAAAUCUAACUCUUGGCACUUAAAAUACUUCCUUUCAACCUACUGUAAAACAACAGCCUAUUUAGGAGAUGAAAAGUGAGUCACUGCUUUCAUCCAGCAGACAGGCUCCCCAGGCACAAACUCAUGCACAUUAUAACAUUAUACUUCAUGGGGCCUUUUAAAUAUUUACUUGUUAGCAGUAUUCUUCCUUUCAGGUCAAAGAUUAUAGUACUUAGCAACACAAAGAAAGCAGAGGGAUAUAGUUAUGAAUUAGUAAACUGCUUUGCCAAGCCUUCCAUUUGUUAAUUCAGUCCAACUUCAAAGAGGAGUUUAAAAAGAGGUUCAGCUGUCAGAAAUUAACCCUCAGAAAAUUACUGAAUCAAAAAGUGACUUGGCCAGUCUUUCCCAAACUGCUGUUAAGGAAAGAAAUGCUCAGUUGUAGGUACAGAAGCAUAAAGCCUCUUCCUAUGCAAGUAAUUUAUUUGAUCAUUUUUAUUAUCUGAAGGGGGGCAGUAGGGAUUAAAAUUUGAGAAAACACCCUGCCCUGGUUCUUCCUUUCCAGCAACAGAGUGGAGAAAGGGCUUUUCUAAUAGCACCAUAUAUUCUUCUUCUUCAGUGGCAUAGACUCUGAUUCACAGCUAUUUCAGGAGAAGGUCAAAGUCUGUCAAGUCAGAGGGGAAUGGGGAGGAGGAGCCCAUACAGAGCUAAAUCCCUGAGAGCUUAAUUUCUCCUGGCCCCCAGCGUGGCCAGUUCCUUUGGGCUUCCAAAAUCGAAACGGCCCUCUGGCUCUCAGUGAAAACAGCCUCGUUACCUGUUCCUGCGGCCUGACUCCAAGUGGCCGUGCACUUUCCCUGAACUCUUUGAUGUGCCUGCUCAAGUCUGUUUCAAUGGGCUUUCACCAUGGCUGUACAUCAGAAUCACCUAGGGAGCUUUUAACUCUACAGAUGUACGGGCUCAAUGCCAGGUCUACAGAAUCCAACAUGAUUCCCAAAGAGCAGCAGCCGGAGCCGAAAACCACUGUUCUGCUUCCUACAAAGUUGAAGUCGAUAGGCAAAGGACUGAUGGUGCAUGGACCGAACACUGAGCACACUGACAUUAAUAAGUGAAGGGCUUCAUAGCAAGAUUUUCAUCAGUCCCCAAGUUUACAAAUCGACGGCAUUCACAGGUGGCCUUUUUUCUUUUCUGGGCUAUUUUCACAAAGAAAUAAACAGGUGUUACUUUGAGAGGAGUAGGUGCUUAAAACAAAGCCAUCCAGGAGCAGAAGGCUGUGGCUGGUUCACAUGAGUGAAGUCCCUGCUCCCCACACAGCCCACCCAAGACACGACCCUAACUGGGGACUCAUUUCAUCACAUGUCUUGAACCUUUGGAGACCACCUGAGAAAGUCAGUACCAGGAGUGUUCGCUAAGCUAAAGCCAAGACUACUGUGUGCUACACAGCACAGCAAAUCCACCUCUAGAGGGAGCUUCAUAAGUGGCUCCAUCACUGACAUGAGACAGAAAGUGACU